AGGGUUGUAGCUCAGUAAAGUUCUGUUUUUAAGGUCAAGUUUUCAUCCGACCUUUGGCAGAGCGAGGUAGAGCACCCGCUUGAUAUGCGGGGGGUCAGAGGUUCAAAUCCUUUCAACCCUACCA
rnacentral:tRNA from 1 species